UUGCUUGUAUUUGUUCAUGAGCCU
rnacentral:siRNA from 1 species